rnacentral:rRNA from 1 species
GACGAACGCUGGCGGCGUGCUUAACACAUGCAAGUCGAACGGAAAGGCCCUGCUUUUGUGGGGUGCUCGAGUGGCGAACGGGUGAGUAACACGUGAGUAACCUGCCCUUGACUUUGGGAUAACUUCAGGAAACUGGGGCUAAUACCGGAUAGGAGCUCCUGCUGCAUGGUGGGGGUUGGAAAGUGUCGGCGGUUGGGGAUGGACUCGCGGCUUAUGAGCUUGUUGGUGGGGUAGUGGCUGACCAAGGCUUUGACGGGUAGCCGGCCUGAGAGGGUGACCGGCCACCUUGGGACUGAGAUACGGCCCAGACUCCUACGGGAGGCAGCAGUGGGGAAUAUUGCGCAAUGGGCGGAAGCCUGAUGCAGCAGCGCCGCGUGCGGGAUGACGGCCUUCGGGUUGUAAACCGCUUUCGCCUGUGACGAGGCGUGAGUGACGGUAAUGGGUAAAGAAGCACCGGCUAACUACGUG